GACGAACGCUGGCGGCGUGCCUAAUACAUGCAAGUCGAACGCAGUGGGGACGGGUGAGUAACACGUGGGUAACCUCCCAUCAGAGGGGAUAACACUUGGAAACAGGUGCUAAACCGAUACUGAUGGAUGGACCCGCGGUGCAUUAGCUAGUUGGUGAGGUAACGGCUCACCAAGGCCACGAUGCAUAGCCGACCUGAGGGGGUGAGCGGCAACACUGGGACUGAGACACGGCCAAGACUCCGACGGAAGGCAGCAGUGGGGAAUCUUCGGAAAUGGGCGAAAGUCUGACCGAGCAACGCCGCGUGAGUGAAGAAGGUUUUCGGGGCGUAAAACUCUGUUGGUAGAGAAGCGGUAUCUAACCAGAAAGCACCGGCUAACUACGUGCCAGCCGCCGCGGUAAUUC
rnacentral:rRNA from 1 species